rnacentral:rRNA from 1 species
GCGCCCCGGGCGGGGCGGGGGCACGGGGGGAACGCGAAGAACCUUACCUACUCUUGACAUCCAGAGAACUUUCCAGAGAUGGAUUGGUGCCUUCGGGAACUCUGAGACAGGUGCUGCAUGGCUGUCGUCAGCUCGUGUUGUGAAAUGUUGGGUUAAGUCCCGCAACGAGCGCAACCCUUAUCCUUUGUUGCCAGCGCGUGAUGGCGGGAACUCAAAGGAGACUGCCGGUGAUAAACCGGAGGAAGGUGGGGAUGACGUCAAGUCAUCAUGGCCCUUACGAGUAGGGCUACACACGUGCUACAAUGGCGUAUACAAAGGGAAGCGAUCCUGCGAAGGCAAGCGGAACUCAUAAAGUACGUCGUAGUCCGGAUUGGAGUCUGCAACUCGACUCCAUGAAGUCGGAAUCGCUAGUAAUCGUAGAUCAGAAUGCUGCGGUGAAUACGUUCCCGGGCCUUGUACACACCG